rnacentral:rRNA from 1 species
UACGGAGGGUGCAAGCGUUAUCCGGAUUUAUUGGGUUUAAAGGGUCCGUAGGCGGAAUUGCAAGUCAGAGGUGAAAGCCCACAGCUUAACUGUGGAACUGCCUUUGAUACUGCUGUUCUUGAGUAUAGUUGAAGUGGGCGGAAUGUGCGGUGUAGCGGUGAAAUGCAUAGAUAUCGCACAGAACACCUAUUGCGAAGGCAGCUCACUAAACUAUUACUGACGCUCAGGGACGAAAGCGUGGGGAGCAAAC